rnacentral:rRNA from 1 species
GACGAACGCUGGCGGCGUGCUUAACACAUGCAAGUCGAACGGAAAGGCCCUGCUUUUGUGGGGUGCUCGAGUGGCGAACGGGUGAGUAACACGUGAGUAACCUGCCCUUGACUUUGGGAUAACUUCAGGAAACUGGGGCUAAUACCGGAUAGGAGCUCCUGCUGCAUGGUGGGGGUUGGAAAGUUUCGGCGGUUGGGGAUGGACUCGCGGCUUAUCAGCUUGUUGGUGGGGUAGUGGCUUACCAAGGCUUUGACGGGUAGCCGGCCUGAGGGGGUGACCGGCCACAUUGGGACUGAGAUACGGACCAGACUCCUACGGGAGGCAGCAGUGGGGAAUAUUGCACAAUGGGCGGAAGCCUGAUGCAGCAACGCCGCGUGCGGGAUGACGGCCUUCGGGUUGUAAACCGCUUUCGCCUGUGACGAAGCGUGAGUGACGGUAAUGGGUAAAGAAGCACCGGCUAACUACGUG